UACGUAGGGUGCGAGCGUUAAUCGGAAUUACUGGGCGUAAAGCGUGCGCAGGCGGUCUUGCAAGACAGGUGUGAAAUCCCCGGGCUUAACCUGGGAACUGCACUUGUGACUGCAAGGCUGGAGUGCGGCAGAGGGGGAUGGAAUUCCGCGUGUAGCAGUGAAAUGCGUAGAUAUGCGGAGGGACACCGACGGCGAAGGCAAUCCCCUGGGCCUGCACUGACGCUCAUGCACGAAAGCGUGGGGAGCAAACAGG
rnacentral:rRNA from 1 species